rnacentral:rRNA from 1 species
CUUCGGGAACCGUGAGACAGGUGCUGCAUGGCUGUCGUCAGCUCGUGUUGUGAAAUGUUGGGUUAAGUCCCGCAACGAGCGCAACCCUUAUCCUUUGUUGCCAGCGAUUAGGUCGGGAACUCAAAGGAGACUGCCAGUGAUAAACUGGAGGAAGGUGGGGAUGACGUCAAGUCAUCAUGGCCCUUACGACCAGGGCUACACACGUGCUACAAUGGCGCAUACAAAGAGAAGCGACCUCGCGAGAGCAAGCGGACCUCAUAAAGUGCGUCGUAGUCCGGAUUGGAGUCUGCAACUCGACUCCAUGAAGUCGGAAUCGCUAGUAAUCGUGGAUCAGAAUGCCACGGUGAAUACGUUCCCGGGCCUUGUACACACCGCCCGUCACACCAUGGGAGUGGGUUGCAAAAGAAGUAGGUAGCUUAACCUUCGGGAGGGCGCUUACCACUUUGUGAUUCAUGACUGGGGUGAAGUCGUAACAAGGUAACCGUAGGGGAACCUGCGGUUGGA